rnacentral:ncRNA from 2 species
GUCAUCUCAACGGGGUGCGAUUGUUGCGGGCAACAUCGCUGAGAACAAACCCGUAGAACCUGAUCCGGCUGAUAUCGGCGUAGGGAUUUGAGUUGCUAUUCAUU